CCUUUAAUAGGAACUAACAAAAACAUAGUACCGUGUAAACUCUCUCCCUGCAAACUUCACAGCUCUCCCCUCCUUCUCAGGCCACCGGCGAAACCACCGGCGAGGAUAAGAUGGCUUUGAAAUCUCGGAAUUCAGCCCGCGUUCACCACCGUCCCACUAUCUUCCAAUGGAGAUCCACUUGGGUUCAACUAUCACCAAAUAGCAAUCGCGUUUCUCACCACCACCACCACUGUCCGUUUUUCUUCGAAUUUAAGUGAAUUUAUGCACUCCGGAGGCAAAUGGCAUGCAAGCAUAUUUUGUCACUUUGAUCACUUAUCUUGGGCUUUGGUGGUCUGGUAUCUUCAAUCCAGCGAUUGUUUAUGAUCAUUUGGGAGAGAUAUAUUCAACAUUGAUAUUUGGAAGCUUCAUCUUUUGCAUCUUAUUGUACAUAAAAAUUGCUGGUUCACAUGUAAGGGCAUGUUGCACCAUCUUCAUCUGAUUCCAGUUCUUGUGGAAACUUCAUAAUUGAUUUCUAUUGGGGCAUGGAGUUAUAUCCAAGAAUUGGUAAGAACUUCGACAUAAAAGUUUUCACGAACUGCCGAUUUGGGAUGAUGUCUUGGGCAGUUCUGGCCUUGACAUACUGUAUUAAGCAGGAACUGGGAUUGAGAGUGAUUUAGGAAGUAGUCCUCCAGUUGGCUCCUUGCCAAAGUCCUUCCCUCCAUUUCAGCAUCCAAGUCAUCAGUUACUUGAGGAAAAUGGCUUCAAACAGCAGAAGUACCUGAAGUACCAAAAGAAUUGUCUGAAUGACCGAAAGAAGUUAGGAACAGGUUGCAGUGAGGAAAUGAAUACUCUAUAUAGAUUCUGGUCAUAUUUCCUUCGAGAUGUAUUUGUUCCAUCAAUGUACAACGAGUUCCGGAAAGCUGCUAAUUACCAUUAUGGACUGGAAUGUUUGUUCAGGUUCUAUAGCUAUGGAUUGGAGAAGGAAUUAAGAGAUGACCUAUAUGGGGAUUUUGAGCAGCUCUCUCUCAAUUUCUACAAGAAAGGCAAUCUUUAUGGCCUGGAAAAAUACUGGUUUUCACAACUGCAAGGGAGGGACCCUUCACCAAAGAGGAGUUGGAUGAAGUUCGAGACAAGUGGGCUACUUACUUCAACGAUUGUGAAUUACCCUCAGUGUAAUAAUUAGAGCAGGCUUAUAGUUAUCCGUGACUCUUACAUUAUUUUGUUAUUUAUUGAUUUAAUUAAUUAUAUUUGAAUUAAUUCGGAAAUAUUGUUGGAAAUUUGAAAUUUAUAUUAUUUUUGAGGAAUGUCAAGAUGAUGUUUG